rnacentral:lncRNA from 1 species
CGCACAUGUGCCCCUGCAGGGUGGCAUAGACGGCGAGCCCAGGGAGGCCACUGACAUGCAUUCAAGAGAAAAGAAAAGAAGCCAGGCUUUGGCAUAAGUGCUUCAUGGUGGAGUGAGAAUGGCUUGCCCUGGAAGGGUCAUGUUUUAGAAGGAGUGAUCUUCAUUGUGAAGUCUAAACUGUUCUGGAAAUAUAAGCUUUGAAACCCAGAAGACACUAAAGUAAAAGAACCAUCAACACAAGUGACAUGUCAUAGCAGGAGCUGACACAGCCUCACCAGCCCAUGCUCGGCCAGACUAGGGAGCAUCGGCCGCUUGUUCCAUCCUGUGCUUGUCUGCCUGCCUCUCUGUCAUGAGACGCAUUCGAAGAGUCCUGGGCCCAAAAGCAACUCACAGUCCAGGAAGACGUC